UGGGUAGUCCGCACGAGCGCANCCCUAUCCUUAUUUGCCAGCACGUAAUGGUGGGAACUCUAGGGAGACUGCCGGUGAUAAACCGGAGGAAGGUGGGGACGACGUCAAGUCAUCAUGGCCCUUACGAGUAGGGCUACACACGUGCUACAAUGGCGUAUACAGAGGGUUGCAAAGCCGCGAGGUGGAGCUAAUCUCACAAAGUACGUCGUAGUCCGGAUCGGAGUCUGCAACUCGACUCCGUGAAGUCGGAAUCGCUAGUAAUCGUGGAUCAGAAUGCCACGGUGAAUACGUUCCCGGGCCUUGUACACACCGCCCGUCACACCAUGGGAGUGGGCUGCAAAAGAAGUGGGUAGUUUAACCUUCGGGAGAACGCUCACCACUUUGUGGUUCAUGACUGGGGUGAAGUCGUAACAGGGUAGCCCUAGGGGAACCUGGGGCUGGAUCACCUCCUU
rnacentral:rRNA from 1 species